rnacentral:tRNA from 1 species
GGAAAUGGAGCACACUGGUAGAGCGCUCACCUAGCACGUGUGAGGCCCUGGGUUCGAUUCUCAGCACCA